rnacentral:rRNA from 1 species
GAUGAACGCUGGCGGCGUGCCUAAUACAUGCAAGUCGAGCGAACAGACGAGGAGCUUGCUCCUCUGACGUUAGCGGCGGACGGGUGAGUAACACGUGGAUAACCUACCUAUAAGACUGGGAUAACUUCGGGAAACCGGAGCUAAUACCGGAUAAUAUAUUGAACCGCAUGGUUCAAUAGUGAAAGACGGUUUUGCGGUCACUUAUAGAUGGAUCCGCGCCGCAUUAGCUAGUUGGUAAGGUAACGGCUUACCAAGGCAACGAUGCGUAGCCGACCUGAGAGGGUGAUCGGCCACACUGGAACUGAGACGCGGUCCAGACUCCUACGGGAGGCAGCAGUAGGGAAUCUUCCGCAAUGGGCGAAAGCCUGACGGAGCAACGCCGCGUGAGUGAUGAAGGUCUUCGGAUCGUAAAACUCUGUUAUUAGGGAAGAACAAAUGUGUAAGUAACUAUGCACGUCUUGACGGUACCUAAUCAGAAAGCCACGGCUAACUACGUG